rnacentral:rRNA from 1 species
AACGAACGCUGGCGGCAUGCCUAACACAUGCAAGUCGAACGAGACCUUCGGGUCUAGUGGCGCACGGGUGCGUAACGCGGGGGAACCUGCCCUUAGGUUCGGAAUAACUCCCCGAAAGGGGUGCUAAUACCGGAUAAUGUCUUCGGACCAAAGAUUUGUCGCCUUUGGAUGGGCCCGCGUGGGAUUAGCUAGUUGGUAGGGUAAAAGCCUACCAAGGCGACGAUCCAUAGCUGGUUUGAGAGGAUGAUCAGCCACACUGGGACUGAGACACGGCCCAGACUCCUACGGGAGGCAGCAGUGGGGAAUAUUGGAAAAUGGGCGAAAGCAUGAUCCAGCAAUGCCGCGUGAGUGAUGAAGGCCUUAGGGUUGUAAAGCUCUUUUACCCGGGAUGAUAAUGACAGUACCGGGAGAAUAAGCUCCGGCUAACUUCGUG